rnacentral:rRNA from 1 species
GCGUAUGAUUAGCUAGUUGGUGAGGUAACGGCUCACCAAGGCAACGAUCAUUAGGGGUUCUGAGAGGAAGGUCCCCCACACUGGUACUGAGACACGGACCAGACUCCUACGGGAGGCAGCAGUGAGGAAUAUUGGUCAAUGGGCGAGAGCCUGAACCAGCCAAGUCGCGUGAAGGAAGAAGGUUCUAUGGAUUGUAAACUUCUUUUGUAAGGGAAUAAAAAGUAGUACGUGUACUAUAUUGUAUGUACUUUACGAAUAAGGAUCGGCUAACUCCGUGCCAGCAGCCGCGGUAAUACGGAGGAUCCAAGCGUUAUCCGGAUUUAUUGGGUUUAAAGGGUGCGUAGGCGGACUUAUAAGUCAGCGGUGAAAGUUUGCAGCUUAACUGUAAAAUUGCCGUUGAAACUGUUAGUCUUGAGUGUAAAUGAGGUAGGCGGAAUGUGUUGUGUAGCGGUGAAAUGCUUAGAUAUAACACAGAACACCAAUUGCGAAGGCAGCUUACUGGGAUACAACUGACGCUGAGGCACGAAAGCGUGGGGAUCAAACAGGAUUAGAUACCCUGGUAGUCCACGCAGUAAACGAUGAAUACUAGCUGUAUGCGAUAUACUGUAUGUGGCAAAGCGAAAGCGUUAA